AGACUGUCCAUGCACUUGACAUUGUCAAAUAUAGACAGAAAAAACACAAAAGAGCUUUUGCUCUGGUAUCUGGAAUAUUAUGAAAUACUCCCAUUUUUGAAGUGUCAUCGCAGAGAACAGGACGCGUGCUCCCCAAGAUGGGGGAGUCUUACGGUAUUAUCAGUACUACUCAGUGUUGUAUUGAGGAAGCCUCAGUAAUACACGUUAAGUAGCAAUUUCUGGUAUUCAGAUGGCCGUAUUUAUAAUAUCCACGAUGAAGCGACAUACCAGCAAAUCUCCGGUAUACGGAUUCACGUUUAUUUUGAUACUGGGUAAUUUUGGAAUAAAUCAGUUUUUAUGGUGUGACGUGACAUUCUGAGGAAAUGGCAUUGGCCCAUUUGGUGUGUGUUUUUCUAUUGUUUAUGGGACUUCCAUUGGCACUAAGUGACUGCGAUACUUGCCGUAGAGAAUAUCGUCAUAUGUGUGUGGAAACAUACUGCUACCGAUACAGAUCCUCAAGGCCUUUCGACAUUCGAUACAUUUAUCGAUGCUCAAGAAUCUGUUCCAAGAAAAGGGAUACUUGUGUUCAUCUUUGCCCAAGUGGAAUGCGAUAGCCAAUAUCGUAAGGAUGGAGUGUUCCUGCAGAAAUUGACUGCGUUUUUUAAAAAAAAAAAUGAAUGCGACAAUACAUUUAAUUUGGCAGCGACCAAAAAAUACUGUUUUAUCCGAACAACUGGAUUAUUUGACGUCGAUCUCAUUUCAUGUUGUACAUAUUUCCGAUAGUAGUCUUCAUUUUUCAUUUGACCGAAAUUUCCUUUCUGUUCGCAGUAAAACCGGAUUUGUUAGGGAUUUGGUUAUGUCACUGCGAGCAUGACCGGAUAUCCAUUCCUAUUUAUUGACUACUCACAACUCAUUUAUUGACUGCUCACAACUCAUUUAUUGACCAAACCACUGCCAUAGUUUAUGUCACGUGUGUUUUUGACACGAAUUUUAAUAAACAAUAUAUAACAAAAAAA